rnacentral:rRNA from 1 species
GAUGAACGCUGGCGGCGUGCCUAAUACAUGCAAGUCGAGCGAACAGACGAGGAGCUUGCUCCUCUGACGUUAGCGGCGGACGGGUGAGUAACACGUGGAUAACCUACCUAUAAGACUGGGAUAACUUCGGGAAACCGGAGCUAAUACCGGAUAAUAUAUUGAACCGCAUGGUUCAAUAGUGAAAGACGGUUUUGCUGUCACUUAUAGAUGGAUCCGCGCCGCAUUAGCUAGUUGGUAAGGUAACGGCUUACCAAGGCAACGAUGCGUAGCCGACCUGAGAGGGUGAUCGGCCACACUGGAACUGAGACACGGUCCAGACUCCUACGGGAGGCAGCAGUAGGGAAUCUUCCGCAAUGGGCGAAAGCCUGACGGAGCACCGCCGCGUGAGUGAUGAAGGUCUUCGGAUCGUAAACCUCUGUUAUUAGGGAAGAACACAUGUGUAAGUAACUAUGCACGUCUUGACGGUACCUAAUCAGAAAGCCACGGCUAACUACGUG